AGGCCUUGACAUCCCACGUCCCCGAAGGGAAAACCGGAUCUCUCCGGCGAGCGUGGGAUGUCAAGGCCUGGUAAGGUUCUGCGCGUUGCGUCGAAUUAAACCACAUGCUCCACCGCUUGUGCGGGUCCCCGUCAAUUCCUUUGAGUUUUAGCCUUGCGGCCGUACUCCCCAGGCGGGGCACUUAAUGCGUUAGCUUCGGCACGGAGGGAGUCGACACCCCCCACACCUAGUGCCCAUCGUUUACGGCGUGGACUAC
rnacentral:misc_RNA from 1 species